rnacentral:rRNA from 1 species
UACGGGGGGAGCAAGCGUUGUUCGGAUUUACUGGGCGUAAAGGGCGCGUAGGCGGCCACCGCAAGUCGAUUGUGAAAUCUCCGGGCUUAACCCGGAAAGGUCAACCGAUACUGCGGGGCUAGAGUGCAGAAGGGGCAACUGGAAUUCUCGGUGUAGCGGUGAAAUGCGUAGAUAUCGAGAGGAACACCUGCGGCGAAGGCGGGUUGCUGGGCUGACACUGACGCUGAGGCGCGAAAGCUAGGGUAGCAAACGGG